CCUACGGGAGGCCGCAGUGAGGAAUAUUGGUUAAUGGACGAGAGUCUGAACCAGCCAAGUAGCGUGAAGGAUGACUGCCCUAUGGGUUGUAAACUUCUUUUAUAUGGGAAUAAAAUGUUCCACGUGUGGGAUUUUGUAUGUACCAUAUGAAUAAGGAUCGGCUAACUCCGUGCCAGCAGCCGCGGUAAUACGGAGGAUCCGAGCGUUAUCCGGAUUUAUUGGGUUUAAAGGGAGCGUAGGUGGAUUGUUAAGUCAGUUGUGAAAGUUUGCGGCUCAACCGUAAAAUUGCAGUUGAAACUGGCAGUCUUGAGUACAGUAGAGGUGGGCGGAAUUCGUGGUGUAGCGGUGAAAUGCUUAGAUGUCACGAAGAACUCCGAUUGCGAAGGCAGUUCACUGGACUGCAACUGACACUGAGGCUCGAAAGUGUGGGUAUCAAACAGGAUUAGAUACCCUGGUAGUC
rnacentral:rRNA from 1 species